rnacentral:rRNA from 1 species
CUACGGGGGGCACCAGUGGGGAAUAUUGCACAAUGGAGGAAACUCUGAUGCAGCAACGCCGCGUGGAGGAUGACACUUUUCGGAGCGUAAACUCCUUUUAUAUAGGAAGAAGAUGACGGUACUAUAUGAAUAAGCGCCGGCCAACUCCCUGCCAGCAGCCGCGGUAAUACGGAGGGCGCAAGCGUUACUCGGAAUCACUGGGCGUAAAGAGCGUGUAGGCGGAUUAAAAAGUCAGAAGUGAAAUCCUAUAGCUUAACUAUAGAACUGCUUCUGAAACUCUUAAUCUAGAAUAUGGGAGAGGUAGAUGGAAUUUCUGGUGUAGGGGUAAAAUCCGUAGAGAUCAGAAGGAAUACCGAUUGCGAAGGCGAUCUACUAGAACAUUAUUGACGCUGAGACGCGAAAGCGUGGGGAGCAAACAGGAUUAGAUACCCCCGUAGUC